GGGGAAUAUUGCGCAAUGGAGGAAACUCUGACGCAGCAACGCCGCGUGAAGGAUGAAGGUUUUCGGAUUGUAAACUUCUUUGAUCGGGGACGAAAAUGACGGUACCCGAGGAACAAGCCACGGCUAACUACGUGCCAGCAGCCGCGGUAAUACGUAGGUGGCAAGCGUUGUCCGGAAUUACUGGGUGUAAAGGGCGUGUAGGCGGGGAGACAAGUCAGAUGCGAAAGCCCAUGGCUUAACUGUGGAACUGCAUCUGAAACUGUAUCUCUUGAGUACUGGAGAGGAAAGUGGAAUUCCAAGUGUAGCGGUGAAAUGCGUAGAGAUUUGGAGGAACACCAGUGGCGAAGGCGGCUUUCUGGACAGUAACUGACGCUGAGGCGCGAAAGCGUGGGGAGCAAAC
rnacentral:rRNA from 1 species